UGGGGAAUAUUGCACAAUGGGGGAAACCCUGAUGCAGCGACGCCGCGUGAGCGAAGAAGGUUUUCGAAUCGUAAAGCUCUGUCCUAUGAGAAGAUAAUGACGGUACCAUAGGAAUAAGGACCGGCUAAUUACGUGCCAGCAGCCGCGGUAAUACGUAAGGUCCGAGCGUUGUCCGGAAUCAUUGGGCGUAAAGGGUACGUAGGCGGGUAAGCAAGUUAGAAGUGAAAUCCUGUAGCUCAACUACAGUAAGCUUUUAAAACUGCUCAUCUUGAGAUAUGGAAGGGAAAGUGGAAUUCCUAGUGUAGCGGUGAAAUGCGCAGAUAUUAGGAGGAAUACCGGUGGCGAAGGCGACUUUCUGGCCAUAAUCUGACGCUGAGGUACGAAAGCGUGGGUAGCAAACAGG
rnacentral:rRNA from 1 species